rnacentral:misc_RNA from 1 species
CGAUAAUUAAAAAAGGAAAAGAAACCGUACUUUUACAUUCGUGAAAUCCGGGGGGGAAAAUGUAGGGAAUUUGUGAGCCUACGGUGGAGAAAUGUCAACAUUGCUGCGCAUUUCGUGCGUGCACGAAAUCAGAUAUCAGAUAUCACGGUGCGUUCAUCCGAGUCGCACGGUCUCUAGGUUGCUAAUCACCGCGCCUCUAAUGCCAUUCGUCACAGUUUCCACCGUUGGAUAGGUCAAAUCCUCUCCUGUCCAGGAUGCAGUAGCUACGGCACGUAUAUCGCAGCUAAUUCGACAAUACGGUAAACUGAUAAGCGGUCGAGCUUGAAAGGUUAGACACGAAACGGAGCUCUUCCGAGACGAAACGUAGAGACGGGAAUAUAAUCGGCGCCCUGAAUUGUGAAUAGUGAGAUGGAUGGUAAAGUGGACGAGGAGAAUCAACGUAGCAUCAAUGACGGUGACUGGGUCUGUCCUGACUCUCAAUGUGCCAAUGUAAAUUUUGCCAGACGAAAUUCCUGCAAUCGUUGUGGAAAAGACAGAAGUGAAUGCCCAAAGAAGAAAAAAUUGGGUCAAGAAAUUGGAAAAGCAGCUGCAGAAAAGAGCAGAGGCCUUUUUAGCGCGGAUGAUUGGCAAUGUAGCAAAUGCGGUAAUGUGAACUGGGCUCGCCGACAGCAAUGUAAUAUGUGUAAUGCUCCAAAAUUUGGUGAGAUAGAGGAACGCACAGGAUAUGGAGGUGGAUAUAACGAUCGAGGAGUUGUUGAAUACAAAGAAAGGCGGGAUGAGGAUGAUGAGUACGACGAGUUUGGACGACGUAAGAAAAAGCGGAGACUUGAAAAGAAUUCUGAUGAUGAUUCCAAGGAUUCCAAAUACAGCAGCCCAUUGCGUAGUAAAUCUAAAGAUAAGGAGGAAAGGGACGAAGUAGAUGAAGAGGAACAAGAAGAAAACAUAAACGAGGAUGAAGAGGAAGAUGACGAGGAGGAAGAAGAAGAUGGUGAUUUAUCUAAAUAUGAUCUUAGCGAAUGGGAUGAUUUUGUGCCAGCAAAAAACAGUACGAAUGGAAGUACAAUGUCGUCAGCAGCGCAACGGUCAAGGUAAUUAAUAGCGAAACGGAGAUGAUCGGCGUGAUUCAGGCACAUCCAAUCAAUGAAAGGCGGUACAGAAGGACAGGUUAACAGGAGACUCGGAAAGAGACGCAACCAGUUCUCGGCAACUAAGAAAUAUACACAACGCAACAAGAUUUAGUAAUUUAGUAUGCACCUUUGGAUAUAUAAAGUGGCCGAUAAUAUGUGACUUAUUACAAAGGAGUCGACUCUAACAAUAAGCUUUACAUUUAUAAUUGAGCUCAUAGCUUCUCGUUGAUCGUAGGGAAGCAAAAUGUUAGGUCUUCUAUUUGCGCGGGUAUAUCGUUGUUCGAUUAGCAGAAUUUACGACGGACAUACUUGGGCGCAAGUAGUAUGUUUUGCUAGAGUGAAAUACAAGAUUGAUAAUUCCAACAUGAAUCUAUAGAAGAAAUUAUACACACAGAGCUCGUUUUACAAGUUAAAUAUGUGACGUUGUAGAAAAAGAUCUUACUCCUAUGUAAUAUAGAUGGUGUUAACGCUCUGCGCAAGCCCCGUCGCCGCAGUGUUCUAAGAUUUCCAUUACUUUUAUCACAAACGUAAAAUAUGUCGAUGUGUCACUCUGCUUUGUAUUGCUCAAGCUGCUGGGAGGAAAAACUAAUCAAUUUUUUUUUCUUUUGUCCCCUUGUGUCUCUCUCUCUCUUUUUACGUCAUAUUUCAUCUAUACAUAAAUUUAUGCAGAUUAAAUAAAUACACUCAUAAAAUAUAGUAUUAAAAAAAUCAUUCCCCAAAACAAAAAAGCAGAUAUAUUAUUUUUAUUUUUUUUCUUUUUGAAAGAGAGACGGAAAAGAAAAAGUACGUUUUCUUGCUUUGAUUAUCACAGAUCCGAGUAAAUUGAUAGAAAAAAAUAGCUUGUGCUUAUCCUUGAGAACAAAAAUUAUAAGAGGUUUUUCUAUUCUUUAAAUCAAUCCGCAUUUUAUGGAUUUGUCGCAAACUCCGAUGGCUGUUCUAGAAUCGUAAAAUCGACUAUCGAUCAAAUCGUACUGACUUCUUGUAAAUAUCUUUAUUUUUCAUUUAUAAUAAAAAUCAUUCAUCAACAACAUAAUUGUUCUUAGUCAAUUACUUCUUAUGUCGUAAGCUACAGAUAAAGGGAAGAGGGAAAACAGGUAAAGG